UGAUUCAAUUUUAAGAAGGUGU
rnacentral:piRNA from 2 species